AAGGGCCUCAGAGAAGAACCCUUCCAUGCAUUCGUCUCCUGAGGUGUUGACAGAUCCAGUACUGCCUGUGCAGUGGUCCUGACCCUGCCCACUGAGAUGUCCUGCCAGCAGAACCAGCAGCAGUGCCAGCCCCCUCCCAAGUGCCCCGCCCCCCAGUGCCCCCCCAAGUGUCCCCCAAAGUGCCCCCCAGUCUCUUCUUGCUGUAGUGUCAGCUCUGGGGGCUGCUGUGGCUCCAGCUCCGGGGUGGCGGCUGCUGUGGCUCCAGCUCCGGGGGUGGCGGCUGCUGCCUGAGCCACCACAGGCGACACAGGUCCCACCGCCACAGACACCAGAGCUCAGGCUGCUGCAGCCAGCCCUCAGGGGGCUCGGGCUGCUGUGGAGGGGGCAGCAGUCAGUCGUCUGGGGGCUGCUGCUGAAGCGGACUCUGAGCCAAGAAGAACAUACUUGGGGAUAGCCAGUGGCCAAACCCUUCCUCCUGCCCCUGCUCCAGCUCGGCCUGCUGGGUCAGCUCAAGUGGCUGCGGGGUCUGAGCGCAGCCUUGAGCUCUGGCCCAGAGGAUCCCUGUGCCCUGGUGUCCAGGAGCCAAAACCCCUCUCCUAAAAACCCAUUUCCUCAUCUCCCCCAUAUGUGUGGCUACCCUGGGAACCCAAAGCGCAGAGCCUGCACCCUUCUGUAGCGUACCUUGUUGUCAACCCAGCCCGAUGUGCAACAAUAAAACUAGAAAUCUUCA